rnacentral:pre_miRNA from 1 species
UAUCUACUCCCUCCGUCCCAAAUUACUCGUCGCAGAAAUAGAUGUAUCUAGAACUAAAAUACAUCUAGAUACAUCCAUAUCUGCGACAAGUAAUUCGGGGCGGAGGGAGUAUUAU